AGACGGAGGGGGCUAGCGUUGUUCGGAAUUACUGGGCGUAAAGCGCGCGUAGGCGGUCCGUUUAGUUAGGCGUGAAAGGCCUGGGCUCAACCCGGGAACUGCGCUUAAAACUGGCGGGCUAGAGUCCGGGAGAGGGUGGCGGAAUUCCCAGUGUAGAGGUGAAAUUCGUAGAUAUCGGGAGGAACACCAGCGGCGAAGGCGGCCUUCUGGACGGUGACUGACGCUGAGACGCGAAAGCGUGGGGAGCAAACAGGAUUAGAUACCCCAGUAGUCC
rnacentral:rRNA from 1 species